rnacentral:rRNA from 1 species
GAUGAACGCUGGCGGCGUGCCUAAUACAUGCAAGUCGAGCGAACGGACGAGAAGCUUGCUUCUCUGAUGUUAGCGGCGGACGGGUGAGUAACACGUGGAUAACCUACCUAUAAGACUGGGAUAACUUCGGGAAACCGGAGCUACUACCGGCUAAUAUUUUGAACCGCAUGGUUCAAAAGUGAAAGACGGUCUUGCUGUCACUUAUAGAUGGAUCCGCGCUGCAUUAGCUAGUUGGUAAGGUAACGGCUUACCAAGGCAACGAUGCAUAGCCGACCUGAGAGGGUGAUCGGCCACACUGGAACUGAGACACGGUCCAGACUCCUACGGGAGGCAGCAGUAGGGAAUCUUCCGCAAUGGGCGAAAGCCUGACGGAGCAACGCCGCGUGAGUGAUGAAGGUCUUCGGAUCGUAAAACUCUGUUAUUAGGGAAGAACAUAUGUGGAAGUAACUGUGCACAUCUUGACGGUACCUAAUCAGAAAGCCACGGCUAACUACGUG